UACAUGGGGUGCAAACGUUGCUCGGAAUCAUUGGGCGUAAAGCGCGCGUAGGCGGUUACUUACGUCGGAUGUGAAAGCCCUCGGCUUAACUGAGGAAGUGCAUUCGAAACUGGGUAGCUAGAGUACUAAAGAGGGUCGCGGAAUUCCCGGUGUAGAGGUGAAAUUCGUAGAUAUCGGGAGGAACACCGGUGGCGAAGGCGGCUCACUGGCCCAUUACUGACGCUGAGGCACGAAAGCGUGGGGAGCAAACAGGAUUAGAAACCCCCGAGAUA
rnacentral:rRNA from 1 species